UGCGCUCGUUAUCUCGGGUCCGAGACCGAGAGAACGCACGAAGGCGUCGUCUUCUUCCUCACCCUAGCGUCCGAGCAGCCUGAGCUCGCCGCUUCUGCCGAAAGCCAGCAAUGGCGCUUCUCGUCAUGCCCUGACGAUGAAGUAGCGAAGUUCUUCCACGAGGGCGAAGCUCUCAUGUCCGAGGUCACCAGUUUUUUUCGGAUCCCCAUGAUGGGUGUUGAUAGGACUUAUGUUUCCCUGGCGAAUCUUUUGGUCUGAGGGAUGUGCUUUGGAUGAUACAUUCGGGGGUUCAUUUGUCUGGGAGAGAUCCUUCUCUGUUGCCAAGUGAGAUGGACUCGGUUUUUUUUGCACUUCAAGCUCUUGCAAGGGGUACUUUCAUUUGUUAGAGCCUGCUUAUUUAGGCGGAUCUUUCCAUGCUUUCUUUUGUUAAAUUAAGUUCCAAUUUGAACCGUGCAUUUCCCGUAUGCAUAAUCGAGCCGUUUUUUAUGCUUUCUAUGUUUUUGUUUAGAGGGUGAAAUCAGCUGGAUCUUGAUGAGUUUUGGCUUCAACCAUGAUUCGCGUUCUUUUUUCUGAGGUGAGGUUUGGUGCUGCUAUUAGGUAUUGGGUACAUUUGCUAGAUUUUAUAUGAAUCAAUUAUUGUUGUCAAAUUGUGGAGCAUCUUAGAUAGCGCAGGGAGCGCAUGACGCUUCCUCUCCGAGUGAUGUGCUGCGUCCGGCUAUCACAGGCUCUUCAACAAGUAUUGUGCUAAAAUAGAUGCCGAUGGCAUUUCUUGUUCCUUCCAUGACUUCAUGGCUUGAUCUCACCUGACUUGUGCAGAUUGGCAUCUUUGUCUCUUGUUGAACAUGAAGAAUGUGAUGAUGUUGCAAAAAGGUUCCCUCCUUUGUUUCCUUUUCUCGAUAGACGUUGACACCAGCUCAAUGCUAGUCAUGUUAUUGUGAUUCUGGUGAUGUUAUAUGGCAACAGCAUUUCGGCUCACUCAAAGUUUCCUUCCAUUGUUCAUUGGCCAUGCUCAUCGGAUGCAUUGUCAUGAGGUGAUUAUCAGUCCGAACAUAGCAUUCUGCAGGAAUUGUCAAUCCAACCUGAAGGAAGCCUAAUGUAUUUCCAGCUGCCAUCCACUUUACAAGCAAGAAGUUUCAGUUUUGAUUAACUAGAAAAUUUACGAUAUCGCAUUUUGCAAUGUCUUCCUUUGAUGUUGUGAGCAAAAAUUUUCUUCCUUUGAUUGAAGAGUCGUGUGAAUGAUAUAUACGAUGCAUUCAAUUUGA